rnacentral:rRNA from 1 species
UACGGAGGGAGCUAGCGUUGUUCGGAAUUACUGGGCGUAAAGCGCACGUAGGCGGCGACUCAAGUCAGAGGUGAAGUCCGGGGCUCAACCUCGGAUCGGCCGUGGCGACUCGUGGGCUGGAGCACUGUAGAGGCGGGUGGAAUUCCGGGUGUAGCGGUGGAAUGCGUAGAGAUCCGGAAGAACACCAGUGGCGAAGGCGGCCCGCUGGGCAGUGGCUGACGCUGAAGCGCGACAGCGUGGGAGCAAACAGG